rnacentral:rRNA from 1 species
AACGCUGGCGGCGUGCCUAAUACAUGCAAGUCGAACGGUCUUUCUAUGGAAGCUUGCUUCCACUGAGAAGAUAGUGGCGAACGGGUGAGUAACACGUGGGUAACCUGCCCAUAAGAGGGGGAUAACAUCCGGAAACGGGUGCUAAUACCGCAUAGUUUUCUUGAUUGCAUGAUUGAGAAAGGAAAGACGGCCUUUGUGCUGUCGCUUAUGGAUGGACCCGCGGCGUAUUAGUUAGUUGGUGAGGUAACGGCUCACCAAGACGAUGAUACGUAGCCGACCUGAGAGGGUGAUCGGCCACAUUGGGACUGAGACACGGCCCAAACUCCUACGGGAGGCAGCAGUAGGGAAUCUUCCGCAAUGGACGAAAGUCUGACGGAGCAACGCCGCGUGAGUGAAGAAAGGGUUUUCGGAUCGUAAAACUCUGUUGUCAGAGAAGAACAAGUUGGAGAGUAACUGCUCCAGCCUUGACGGUAUCUGACCAGAAAGCCACGGCUAACUACGUGCCAGCCGCAGC